GACGAACGCUGGCGGCGUGCUUAACACAUGCAAGUCGAACGGAAAGGCCCUGCUUUUGUGGGGUGCUCGAGUGGCGAACGGGGGAGUAACACGUGAGUAACCUGCCAUUGACUUUGGGAUAACUUCAGGAAACUGGGGCUAAUACCGGAUAGGAGCUCCUGCUGCAUGGUGGGGGUUGGAAAGUUUCGGCGGUUGGGUAUGGACUCGCGGCUUAUCAGCUUGUUGGUGGGGUAGUGGCUUACCAAGGCUUUGACGGGUAGCCGGCCUGAGAGGGUGACAGGCCACAUUGGGACUGAAAUGCGGCCCGGACCCAUACGGGAGGGAGCAGUGGGGAAUAGUGCACAAUGGGCGGAAGCCUGAUGCAGCAACGCCGCGUGCGGGAUAACGGCCUUCGGGUUGUAAACCGAUUUCGCCUGUGACGAAGCGUGAGUGACGGUAAUGGGUAAAGAAGCACCGGCUAACUACGUG
rnacentral:rRNA from 1 species